rnacentral:rRNA from 1 species
GAAUUUUCCGCAAUGGGGGAAACCCUGACGGAGCAACGCCGCGUGCGGGAUGACGCUUUUCGGAGUGUAAACCGCUUUUCUUGGGGACGAAGCACUGACGGUACCCAUGGAGGAAGGCCCGGCUAACUACGUGCCAGCAGCCGCGGUAAUACGUAGGGGUCGAGCGUUGUCCGGAGUUACUGGGCGUAAAGCGCAUGCAGGCGGCUCAUUACGCGUGGCGUGAAAGCCCCCGGCUUAACCGGGGAGGGUCGUCGCGUACGGGUGAGCUUGAGGGUAUCAGGGGCUGGUGGAAUUCCCGGUGUAGUGGUGAAAUGCGUAGAGAUCGGGAGGAACACCUGUGGCGAAGGCGGCCAGCUGGGAUACACCUGACGCUGAGAUGCGAAGGCGUGGGGAGCGAACGG